UGCGGGGUGGAGCAGUGGUAGCUCGUCGGGCUCAUAACCCGAAGGUCGUUGGUUCGAAUCCAGCCCCCGCUA
rnacentral:tRNA from 2 species